GAAAACCCACUGAACUGAAGCAUCUCAAUAAGUGGAGGAAAAUAAACUAACUAGGAUACUCUUAGUAAGUGCGACCGAAGAGAGUAAAGCUCAAUAAUCUAAACUUUAAAUUUUUAAUUUAAAGUCAUGUGAUUUUCUAAACUCAUUGAAAUUUUUAUAAAUUAUGAUUGAAUUCAUAACUAUAAAGAGUUAUAGUCUCGUUAUUUAAAAUUUCAAGCAUGGGAAUUAGAAUUAAAGAGUCGGGUAGCUUGAGAAUGCUGCCUUAAUAUAGGUGGUACACCCCAUCUAAAGCUAAAUAUUGUAAAGAGACCGAUAGCAUACAAGUAGUGUGAACGAAAGAUGAAAAGAACUCCUAAACGGAGAAUUAAAAGCGCCUGAACUUGUCUAGGUUUUCGCAUUUCUUUAAUGCGCCCGUCUUGAAACACGGAUUAGGGAGUUUUACUUAAAUACGAGUCUUUAACUUUUAAAGUAAUUUUUUUAAAAAAGGCGAAAAGAAAUUAACUGGUUUUUUAACAUGGCUAUAGAGUAUUUAAGUCAAAACCCGAAUGGAGGUGAACUAUUCCUGCAAAGAUUGAAGUCAGGGGAAACUCUGAUGGAAGAUCGUUGGCGUUAUUGAUGUGCAAAUCAUUUGCUUUAUGUAGGUAUAGGUGCGAAAGACUCAUCGAACCUCCUAAUAGCUGGUUUCCUCCGAAGUUUCCCUCAGGAUAGCUGUAACAUUUUUAAAUAGUUAAGGAUAGUAGAGAAAUGGGUAGAGGUGUAGUGGAACUACGGUUCUGCAACUUAUUUCCAAACUUCGAACGUUCUUGAUAUAAAAAAUUACCUAAUAGGAAUUUUUUAUUUAAAUAUAUGUUAUAAGUGGGCUCUGACCGGUAAGCGGUCAUGGCGAAAAGGGAUGAACCUAACGUAUAAAUAAGGUGCCUAAAUUUACUAACAAUGAAACCAUUAAAAGAGUCCAUGUAUUUAGACAGCGGGUCGGUGCCCCUAAAAGCAGGUAUCCGUUAAUGAGUGUGUUAAAACUCCCCCGCCGAAUACUCUGGCCUUGAAAAUGAAUGGCGCAUAUAGUAAUACCGAUAUUAUACAUUAAAAUUAUUUAAAAAUUUUAAAAGUAGGGGGAUGUGGAUAUCUUAGAGAAUUUUUAAUUGUAAAAUUGAAUUGAAAGAUAUCUAUUACAGAUCCUAAUUGAAGUAGCGAUUAUCCAGGUUAAUCUCCUGGGGGCUGAUGAGGAGUAGGGUUUCUGGGCAACUUAAACGGACCCAGAGUUAGUCGAUCCUAAUCAAAUUAAAUUUAGAGAAAGGGAAUAUGAAUGAUAUUUCAUAACUAAAAUUAAUUUUUAAAUGGUGACAUUUUUUUAAACUUAUUUCCAUCAAUUAAAUACUGUUUAAUAGGGAUUUCUUUCCUAUAUAACUUUUUAAUUAAAACUUAAGAAACAGGUUAACUGGAGAAUAAAGUUUUAAUUUAGUAAAAUUAUAAUUUCGAUUAUAAUAACGGCUAUUUAAAUGAUCCAUGAAACAAUAAGUUUAUUUUUUCAAAAAUUAAUUUAAUCGUACCGAUAACCGCAUCAGGUCUCCAAGGUGAGUAGCUUCUGGCCAUUGAGUAAUGGUAAUUUAGGGAAUUCGGCCAAUUAGAGCUGUAACUUCGGGAUAAAGCUUGGCUCUGAUGGAAAUCAGAACCGAUAGUUACAAGGAGAGCCCAACUGUUUAAUAAAAACUUAGUGUCGCGUCAUACCUUUAUAAGUAAUAAACGUGACAUGAAUCCUGCUCAGUGCUGUGUUUGUUAAACUGGAUUAAUCCAUUUAAGCGCCGGUAAAUAGCUGGGGUAACUAUGACUCUUAUCAAAGUAGCGAAAUACCUCGUCACUUAAUUAGUGACCUGCAUGAACGGAGCUAUGAGGUUCUCACUGUCCCAAAUUAUCACUCAGCGAACCAACAGUUGUGGGAACGGGCACAAAUUAUCCAGCGGGGAAAGAAGACCCUGUAGAGCUUCACUUUGGUCUAAUCUUGUAUAGUUUCGUUAGGGGUGCAGUCUAGGUGGGAGAUUUUUAAUCAAAUAUGAGAAACCACUACCCUUUCUGGAAUUAUACUUACUAAAAUUCUUUUAUAAAUUUUAGGAUCGGAUUAGAUAGAAAGUUUGGCUGGGGCGGCACACCUUCGAAAAAGCAGCGAAGGUGUCCUAAGUUAAGCUCAGUAAGGACAGAAAUCUUACGUUGAGGAUAAGGCCAAAAG
rnacentral:rRNA from 1 species